rnacentral:lncRNA from 1 species
AUGUACUUCCAAAAACACUGGCUGAUUUUUUUGUUUUGUUUUGUUCGCCAAGCCACCGCAACGCCUGGGGUUUCUCUGGCUGGCGACAGGCAAGAGACCCGUCGUCCUUCCUUCCUUGGACUCUUCUCUUGGGCACCUUCCCCCUCCCCUCCAUGGCAGAAAAAGCCAGCGAGGCUCCGGCUCCGCUUCUCACGACACCGAGCCGGCCGCUCUUCUGCGCCAAAGGCAGCGUUUACAGCUGCGGCAAGAAGAGGCCCGCGCGCCUCGGAAGGAGCCUCGCGCCGUCCAGGGAAGACGGAGAGAGAGGCAGAGAGCGCGCCGGCUCGCUUGCGCGCGACGCUCGGGCGCCCUGCCAGCCUCCGCCCACCCGGGCCCCUUGGCUCCGCCCCGGGAGCUGGCGACGCCGGCGACUCGUUCAUCUCGCCCAGGAGCGAGGCUGGGGCGGGAGGGGGAGCGGGCAGGUUCCUUCUGCCUUCCGCGAGCAGCUGUCUCGCCCGGAUAGGCUCGCGGAGCGAAUGGGGCGGCUGCGCUGAGGAGGGGUCGGCGGCUGCGUGGGUGGAUGGGAGUGGGGGGAAAAGGCGGGCUGGGCUGAGGGGUAAACCCAGCCAGAGAGAGAGAGAGAGACCCCGCUCCAGCUCGCAGGCGAUGCUCCUCACUUGCUGCCUUGGCCGUCUCCUCCUCCCCCCGUCUUGGAAGCUUUUGUUCUUCUCUCCACUUUGGGGCAGAGGCGAAGUGCUGCAGCCGCAGCCGCCGCCGCCGCCGCCGCCGCCGAAGCCUCGGCUUCCCAGGUCUCUUGUCCGCCAGGAAAGUUCCCGGAGGCAGCAGCCCUCGACUCGCGCCUCCGCCUGCCCAGGACCGGGGCUUGUUAUUGUUGUUUGGAGACCAAAGCACUGCCAUGAAGGGUGAAGCUUUACUUUCCCCCUGCUGGAUCUCUAACUACGAUUUGGGGCAUGGCCAUGGAUCAUGACACCACCUUAUAUGCUAAAAUGCCUUGAAGCCUCUUUAUCUCUCCCUUGCAUUCUGCUCUGUAGGAAGUGAUGUUUUUUUCUGCAAUGCUGACGCCUGCUCAUUCUGGGACAUUCAAUGCAACUUUUAUUGUCUAUGAAAAUAUGUACGCAAAUAUCACCACCCCCUCCUUCUUGGUUCGUAGUGGCACAACGCAGCCACUGAAAUAUCAUUUGGGUGCCAUGGUUAUCACUGAGGUAACUACUCUGACAACCAACACUACAACUGCCCACCCAUUGCAACCGGGCUCCAAGAGCUUAAGCCUGCCGCUCCAG